GCUCAACAAAAAUUUAUUACGGGCAGCAAAAAAAAUUCAGUUAUGCAAAGCAAAUGCAUGUACAAGAUCUCUACAAAAAGUCUAAAUAAAUCCCACUCAAACGCAUACCCUAUCCCCACAACAUCAAGAAUAUAAAUAACUGCAACAUUGUUCUAUUUAAUGUCUCAUCUCACUCUAACCAGACCAACACGUGAAAAUAAAUACUAGUCAAUUAGCAUUUUUUUCAUGUUCACCCCAAGCAAAUGGGGCAGCGCGGUAAUGCUAGCAUUUAAGGACGAUCACAAUCUUCCUGCUCCCACAUCAUAAUGCAUGGCUGGUCCAGGUGUAUGAAAUGAUCCCAACAUGAGGAGAAAUAUUAGUUCUUCAACUAAUGUUACAAGGAAAAUCAGGUAAGCUCAGCAAUCAAUGGUGUCAAUUAACACUAACAGCAGAUUUCUUCCAUGGAAGCUUUUGCUCAUUGGAUGAACCAUCCAUAGUUGCAAGUGGCAACAAGUUCCAACUUCUUCAGGAACCGCCACACAGUAGAAGACCACAAAUGAUUGAACAUACAGGAACCCUUUAUGCAUUUUGCUGGACUUGUCGGUGUACUUGCAGAAUCCAAUCCUGGUAACCAAUAGAACCACCAACUGGAUCCUCAAUCAGAUUUGCAAGCAAGAAGAAGCCUUCUCUAGGCUGUUCACCUUGCCUCACAAGAUGGCAUAACUGAUAAUAUGAUCUGUCACUCUCCCUCUGUCUUUUAAGCAAACCCAUCAGUUCUCUUGACAUUUCAUUAUCUAGCUCUUGAAGUGAAACCUUAGAGAAGUCAGCAGCAAAGUUUUCUCCGAGCAAACUCUGGAUCAUAUUAGGAGAAAGCAUUCUACCGAACCAGAUGACAAACCGGAAACCAUCAUCAAAGAGAUAGAGACCCUGGGGAUCUAAGCUCUCUGUUGUAAGUGGAACCCCUUUCAAGAUGUCUUUAGACUCCUCUCGCGAAGAUGGUUUUUUUAGAAGAUAUUCAUCUAUACGGAUCAACUUAGGAUAUAGAAGCUUCAACAAUCUUUUAACGGGCAAAGCCAUCAUGGUAUAUCCAGCAGCACAUCGUUCGUCAAGCUGAGCAUCAGCAUAUCCACCGCGAAGGGCAGUUGUUUUGCAUAAAGCUAAUCCAUAUAAUGGCAAGUACUUUAAAGAUUCUGGAUAAAUCAUCCUUCCAGCCACACGGUGCUGAACAGCAUGGAGAUUUCGAUAUUCUCUAAGAGCUUUCACAAUCCUGAGUUGAAUAGAAUUUCGAGCCUCCUCUAAUUUAGAGGUCAGAGUUUUCUCAAUGGCAAGCCUGGUAAAAAGAGAAAUGAUAGCACCAGUAUCAGCUAGGCGAUACAUUUCUCCUAAAUCUGAAACAACCGGUGCUGCUGCUGUGUGUACUCUAAUGCGCCUUUCUCCAGAAGAUGAUGUGUAUAGUAGAGCAAUUUGG
rnacentral:misc_RNA from 1 species